rnacentral:lncRNA from 1 species
AUGCCACACAUUCUGCUUCCCAGACCCCUGCCUGGGAAGAGUGGGACUCCACAGGUCUGGGGGAAGCCUGGGAGUGGCACCUAUGAGCAGCUGCCUCAGAGAUUCUUAAUCAUUUUACAGAUACCUCCAGAGCACUUAACCAUGUGCUCUGCCGGUCUCUGGGGACACAGAGAUGCAUGGCUCUUGGGACAGUCGCAUUGGGAAGAUCCCGUCUGCUCAGAGCUCAGCUGCUGGCUGCUUCCUCCAUCAAACCCUCACCCAAGGCCUGUCUCAGGCAGAAUUGGCUUCUCUCUCUGGGGACAGACAGAACGUCUGGACACACUUUCAAGUGAUUUUCAUUUGGAGUUGGUGUGCUCUGGAAGCACCUGUCACCCCAGCCUUGACACCGGGCCAAUUAUCUUAGACACCUGGAUGAGACAACAGCCUGGAUCAUCCCCCUCAGGCCACAACACCAGCACAAGGUCCAGACCACCGCCAGGCAGACCUCAGUGCCUGAGAUGCCGGGAUGGCAUCUUGCUUUGCCUAAGUGGGUUCUGACACGUCGCUGUUUCUUCUCAUUAAAAAGAAAAACAAAAACACAAAUCUAAGUAAUGUGUGCCCAGCACCCACCACAGAUGUUUGUGUCUUCAGCGUGUGCAUGUCAGGUAAACCCAUCCACGGGAGCCCAGAGUCAGCCCAUACUGAGAGGUCAAACCAGGGACAGGGUGCUCUUAGGGUCAUGGACAUAACGGACGUCAAACAGGUUUGAGACAUCGCCACAGCCUUUAUUUCUUGCUUCCGGCAAAGCGGUUUUCUGAUGAAGCAGGACAAAAGCCACUAUUCCCUGUGGCGGCCUAGGGCCCUGGAGUUGGACACAAGCAUGGCAGAUAGCUAAGCUCAAACUUAAGCUCUAUUUGCCUGCUUCCUCCCAACCCCGCCCCCUUCCCACAACCCCGCCCCCUCCAUAACCCCGCCCCUUUCCUCCAACCCUGCUCCACUCACAACAGCCAGAGCGAGCAUUAAUCAAGGCCAUAACCCCAGUGCUCGCUUAGGCAGCACAUAUGCUAAAUACAGAGAAAAUUAACGUUGCCCCCGUGCAAGGAUGACACACAAGUUUGUGAAGGGGUCCGUGUUUUUACUUAUAUGUGAAAUCUAAAAUACAGCACAGAACCAUGAGGUUGCGGGUUGGAUCCCUGGCCUCGUUCCGGCGUUGCGGUGAGCUAUGGGGUAGGUCACAGAUGUGGCUCAGAUCCGGCACUGAUGUGGCUGUGGCGUAGGCUGGCAGCUGUAGCUCCCGUUGGACCCCUAUCCUGGAACGUCCAUAUGCUGUGGGUGAGGCCCUAAAAAGCAAAAAAUAAAUAAAAAUAAAAUAAAAUAUGGCA